GAAGGGCAUAUUAUGCUAUCUGGUUGAUGAAGCAAUGCCGCGUGAGUAAUGACGGCCUUCGGGUUGUAAAGCUCUGUUGUAAGGGAAGAAAAAAUAGAGUAGGAAAUGCCUCUAUAUUGACGGUACCUUACCAGAAAGCCACGGCUAACUAUGUGCCAGCAGCCGCGGUAAUACAUAGGUGGCAAGCGUUAUCCGGAUUUAUUGGGCGUAUAGGGUGCGUAGGCGGUUUUGCAAGUUUGAGGUUAAAGCCCGGAGCUCAACUCCGGUCCGCCUUGAAAACUGCAUUACUAGAAUGCAAGAGAGGUA
rnacentral:rRNA from 1 species